GAUGAACGCUGGCGGCGUGCCUAAUACAUGCAAGUCGAGCGAACAGACGAUGAGCUUGCUCCUCUGACGUUAGCGGCGGACGGGUGAGUAACACGUGGAUAACCUACCUAUAAGACUGGGAUAACUUCGGGACACCGGAGCUAAUACCGUAUAAUCUCUUGAAACUCAUGAUUCCAUGAUGAUAGACGGAUUUGCUCUCACUUAUCGAUGGAUCCUCGCCGCGUUAGCUAUUUGGUAAGAAAACGGCUUACCAAGCCAACGAUGAGUGACCGACCGGAGAGGGUGAUGGCCCACACUGGAACGGAGAAAGGGUCCAGAUUCCUACGGGAGGCAGCAGAAGGGAAUUUUCGGCAAAGGGGGAAAGCCUGACGGAGCAACGCCGCGUGAGUGAGGAAGGUCUUCGGAUCGUAAAACUCUGUGAUUAGGGAAGAACAAAUGUGUAAGUAACUAUGCACGUCUUGACGGUACCUAAUCAGAAAGCCACGGCUAACUACGUG
rnacentral:rRNA from 1 species